rnacentral:snoRNA from 1 species
UGCUUAUGUGUGUUUUUGUUUAACUUGUGGAAAGACAUAUAGACAGGUGCAAAUAAUAAAUCGUUUUUUGCAAUCCAGAACUCAUUGUUCAGUAUGAGUUUCGAUACAUAAGGAACAUGAUGCA